UUUUCCCAUUAGUUGCAAAGCUAUAUUUAGAAGAGAAGGGGGGAGACAGAGAGAGAGAGAGAGAGAGAGAUUAGGCAUUUCUUCAUAUUCUGUAGUCACUCCAGUUCUGCUUGUAGGAACAGAUGCCUUUUUCCUGGGGCGAUAGCAUUCAGGUCCACAAGGAAAUUUUCUUACCAGCAGCUCUUCAAACAUAGAAGGGAGAUCGGGCCAGAGAUUGCUGGAAAGCCAAUGACCAUGCCGACCUCUUCCACCCAAGUGUCAGCUCUUGACCAUACCAACUCUACCCAGCAACCCAACUCCAGCAUCUACAUGUUCUCCAAGUUCAUCCACCUUGACAAAGAAUUGUACGAACAAUUUUACAGCCUAUGGAUUGCCCUGAUAGUUGUCAAUGCCAUUAUCUUCCUGGUGGGUGUUGUGCUGAACAGCUUGGCAUUGCUUCU
rnacentral:lncRNA from 1 species